GGGCCCGCACAAGCGGUGGAGUAUGUGGUUUAAUUCGAUGCAACGCGAAGAACCUUACCAGGGUUUGACAUCCUGCGAAUCUCUUGGAAACAGGAAAGUGCCUUCGGGAGCGCAGUGACAGGUGGUGCAUGGCUGUCGUCAGCUCGUGUCGUGAGAUGUUGGGUUAAGUCCCGCAACGAGCGCAACCCACGUCUUUAGUUGCCAGCAUUUAGUUGGGUACCCUAAGGAGACUGCCGGUGAUAAGCCGGAGGAAGGUGUGGACGACGUCAAGUCAUCAUGGCCCUUACGGGUUGGGCUACACACGUGCUACAAUGGCAUCUACAGUGAGUUAAUCUCCAAAGAUGUCUCAGU
rnacentral:rRNA from 1 species